ACGCACGCUGGCGGCGUGCCUAAUACAUGCAAGUCGAGCGGACGGAUGGGAGCUUGCUCCCAGACCGUCAGCGGCGGACGGGUGAGUAACACGUGGGCAACCUGCCUGUAAGACUGGGAUAACUCCGGGAAACCGGGGCUAAUACCGGAUAACUCUUUCCCUCACAUGAGGGAAAGCUGAAAGAUGGCAUCUCGCUAUCACUUACAGAUGGGCCCGCGGCGCAUUAGCUAGUUGGUGAGGUAACGGCUCACCAAGGCGACGAUGCGUAGCCGACCUGAGAGGGUGAUCGGCCACACUGGGACUGAGGCACGGCCCAGACUCCUACGGGAGGCAGCAGUAGGGAAUCUUCCGCAAUGGACGAAAGUCUGACGGAGCAACGCCGCGUGAGUGAUGAAGGUGUUCGGAUCGUAAAACUCUGUUGUCAGGGAAGAACAAGUACCGGAGUAACUGCCGGUACCUUGACGGUACCUGACCAGAAAGCCACGGCUAACUACGUG
rnacentral:rRNA from 1 species